GCACUGGUGGUUCAGUGGUAGAAUUCUUGCCUUCCGUGUGGGAGUCUUGGGUUCUAGUCUAGCCAGUGCA
rnacentral:tRNA from 1 species